UAUGGCCAUAUGACGUGGAUACACUGGUUCUCGUUCGAACAUUGAAGUUAAGCAGCGUUCAACCGGCUCAGUAACUAGAUGGGUGACGGCUCUGGGAAUAGCAGGUGAUGUAAG